UACGUAGGGGGCGAGCGUUGUCCGGAAUUACUGGGUGUAAAGGGCGUGUAGGCGGGGAUGCAAGUUAUCGGUUAAAACCCAAGGCUCAACCUUGGGCUUGCCGGUAAAACUGUGUCUCUUGAGUAUAGGAGAGGGAAGUGGAAUUCCCGGAGUAGCGGUGAAAUGCGUAGAUACCGGGAGGAACACCAGUGGCGAAGGCGGCUUCCUGGCCUAUCACUGACGCUGAGGCGCGAAAGCUAGGGUAGCGAACGGGAUUAGAUACCCCGGUAGUCCUAGCCGUAAACGAUGGUCACUAGGUGUGGGUGGUGGUCAAGCCAUCCGUGCCGGAGCUAACGCAAUAAGUGACCCACCUGGGGAGUACGGCCGCAAGGUUGAA
rnacentral:rRNA from 1 species